UGGGGGAUAUUGCACAAUGGGGGGAACCCUGAUGCAGCGACGCCGCGUGGGUGAAGAAGCGCCUCGGCGCGUAAAGCCCUGUCAGCAGGGAAGAAAAUGACGGUACCUGAAGAAGAAGCCCCGGCUAACUACGUGCC
rnacentral:rRNA from 1 species